rnacentral:misc_RNA from 1 species
GAUGAAAACGUAGCGAAAUGCGAUACUUGGUGUGAAUUGCAGAAUCCCGUGAACCAUCGAGUCUUUGAACGCAAGUUGCGCCCGAAGCCAUCAGGUUGAGGGCACGUCUGCCUGGGCGUCACAUAUCGUUGCCCAAUGCCUAUUGCAGUGCAAUAGGAAUUUCUAGGGCGAAUGAUGGCUUCCCGUGAGCGUUGUUGCCUCGCGGUUGGUUGAAAAUCGAGUCCUUGGUAGGGUGUGCCAUGGUAGAUGGUGGUCGAGUUAGAACGAUACCGAUCAUGUGCAUGCUCCCCAAAAUAUGGCCUCUAUGACCCACACGCGUCUUUUGACGCUCAUGACGAGACCUCAGGUCAGGCGGGGCUACCCGCUGAAUUAAAGCAUAUCAAUAAGCGGAGGA